GCCGGCGAUGUUUCAUUCAAAUUUCUGCCCUAUCAACUUUCGACGGUAGGGUAGUGGCCUACCGUGGUGGUAACGGGUAACGGAGGAUUAGGGUUCGAUUCCGGAGAGGGAGCCUGAGAAACGGCUACCACAUCCAAGGAAGGCAGCAGGCGCGCAAAUUACCCAAAUCCCAACUCGGGGAGGUAGUGACAAGAAAUAACGAUGCUCCGGCCGUCGGUCGGGUAAUCGGAAUGAGAACAAUAUAAAUCCCUUAUCGAGGAUCAAUUGGAGGGCAAGUCUGGUGCCAGCAGCCGCGGUAAUUCCAGCUCCAAUAGCGUAUAUUUAAGUUGCUGCGGUUAAAAAGCUCGUAGUCGGAUUUCGGGUGGUACCUGCCGGUCCGCCUUUGGUGUGUACUGGCAGGCGCUACCUUUCUGCCGAGGACAGGCUCAUGGGCUUCACUGUCUGGGGCCUGGAGUCGGCGACGUCACUUUGAGUAAAUUAGGGUGUUUAAAGCAGGCAUAUGCUCUGAAUACACUAGCAUGGGAUGACACGAUAGGACUCCGGUCUAUCUUGUCGGUCUGUAGUCUGGAGUAAUGAUUAAGAGGGACAGUCGGGGGCAUUCGUAUUUCGUAGUCAGAGGUGAAAUUCUUGGAUUUACGGAAGACGAACUUCUGCGAAAGCAUUUGCCAAGGAUGUUUUCAUUGAUCAAGAACGAAAGUCGGGGGCUCGAAGACGAUUAGAUACCGUCGUAGUCUCGACCAUAAACGAUGCCGAU
rnacentral:rRNA from 1 species